GGUGGGAGGUCUUCCGGGAACGUUCCGAGCAUUUGUCUGGCCUGAGUCUUUUGACCCUCCGGACCUACGAGAUUCCAGUUUUUCCCUUCCACAGGGAAGAGAUUAUCAUCAGUGGUAAACUGAAGCACAGAGAAGUCAAGCCACUUGCCUGAAGUCACACAGCUGGCAAAUACUGAGUCUGGGAUUCAGGCAUAAACCGUUAAGGACUGGAGAACGGGAGAGGAGACAAGAGUGAGAGCAUUUUGGAGAACAGAAAGCAGAUGGGUUAAUCGGCAGAACUGAGAAAACCCAAUCCUCUGGCAGCAGAGGGGAAAGUCAAAGCCAACCUGAUUUAUCCCCCAAAAUCCCUCCCAAAGGCUCGGGAAUUGGUGGUACCAAUUCCUGAAAGUAAAAUUGGGGAUAGGAGUGGGCAGCAGAGAGGAGGAUGUGAAAUAAAGGAAAUUCCCUAAAAGUCUGUUUGAGGAGCAGUCAGAUUUGCAGAUCCUCCCAGCCCCCGCCCGACUCUAGGUAACUGGCCACCUACCUCUGCAAAAGUCUGCAGGUUUAUUCUUUGGAGACAGUAACACAGAGUAUCUGGGCUUGGGGACCCCAGCACGUUUUCAGGCAGAGGUACUAUAUUGAAAACAGGAGGAUUAAGUGAAAUCUUGUGUUUAGUUCCCUGGGACUGCUGUAACAAAUUACCAUAAACUGUGUGGCUUCAAACAAUAGAAGCGUAUUCUUUCAUAGUUCUGGAGGCCAGAAGGCUGAAAUCAAAGUGUCAGCAGGGCCAUCCUCCUUCCGGAGGCUCUGGGAGAGAAUCCAUCCCUUGUCUCUUCCAGCUUUUGGUGUCUGUCGGCAUUCCUUGGCUUGUGGACAUAUCUCUUUCUGCUCUGUUUUCACAUUGUCUUCUCCUCCACGCUUCUCAUCUCCCACAGCCUCUCUCUUAUAAGGACACUUUUGAUGGUACUUAGGGCCCACCUGAAUAAUCCAUAACUAUCUCCUCAUCUCAAGAGCCUUAACUUAAUCACAGCUACAAAGAACCUUUUUCACAAAUGAGAUACCAUUCACAGGUUCCAGGAAUUUAACAUGGAUAUACUUUUGGGGGCUGUUUUGGGGCCUGCAUGCUGAGAUACCCUAUUCCAGUCCUUUGCCACAUCUGCAGGGCUGGCCCCAUUGCUCACAUCCAGAGGCCAGGCAAAUUGUAUGUAGUGGUCUUUCCCAGGCCAUUCCAUUCCAGGUAGGAGACUGGAAGAAUCUUCUCCAGAAAAUCUGGCUAGACUCAGAGGAAUCACCUAAAGAUAUUUUAACAUCAGGGGGGUUCCCAACUGACACUGACAGUUCAGUGUCAACAGCCCACUUCCCAAUAUAUACAAUGAUCAGCUUCUUGGUCCCCUACUCUUAAAUAUGAGCAGAAAAUCAAGAAAUAUCAGACAUCUGAGCGUACCCUCUUAAAUGAAAAAUCGAGAACAAAGCAAAUAGAGAAAAGUAACUAAAGAAAACAGACAAUGCAGGAAGGAAAAAAAAAACUAAAAAAAAAAAAUCAAAAACAACUUUUCAGAGAGUUACCCUGAAGCAAGAACAAGAUGCUAUUAAAAAUAGGAAUAUUUUGAGAACAAAGAGGGCUUCUUGGAAAUUAAAAGCAGAGAUAUUAAAAAUUUAAUAAAAGAGAUGGAAGAUAAAUGUGAGAGUUUGUCUCAGAAAGUAGGAGAAAAAGACAAAGAUAGAAAAUAGGAGAGAAAAGAUACAUUGUUUCAGGGACCGGUCUAAAAAAUCCCACAUUUGAAAAAUAGGCAUUUUAUCGAGAAAGAAGAGAAACAGGGUGGGGUGGGGGAAUCAUCAAUAAAAUAAUUCACAAAAAUUCUCCAAAACUAAAGGACAUGUGUUUCCAGAUUGAAAGUGUUUACUGAGUGCCCAGCAUGCUGGAGAAAAAUAGGUCCAUAGCAAGGCACAUCAUUGUGAAAUUUUGAAAUACCAAGAACUAAUUUGUGAAGAGAAGGAGAAAUAGGUCACUUCAAAGUAUCAAGAGCAGAAUAACUUUGGACUUCUCCACCAAAAUUCAGACAUAAGAAGGUAGUGGAUUAAUGCCUUCAAAAUUCUGAGGGAAAAUGAUUUCCAACAUAGAAUUCUAUACCCAGCCAAACAGUCAUCAAGGGAGCAGAUAGAAUAAAACCAUUUUCAGAUAUGGGAAGUUGAAAAUUUUCUACUUCCCACACACCCUUUCUCAGGGACUUACUGGAGGCUGAACUUUUUGGCUACACCGAAAAGGGUGUGUGUUUGUGGUGAGACAAGGAAGAACAAGACACAGGAAACAGAAACACAGCACAGGGGAGAAGCAGGUGGAAUCCCCAGAUGAUGGUGAACGGACAUCCUAGGAUGACAGCUGUGCACCAGAGUCGGUAACAGGUUAGAUUCCAGCAGGUCUGAAGACUCCAGGGAGAUUUCUUUAAGAAGGUGAACACAUAGAGUUUCUGAGGCAUUAGAAGGAGUUGAGAGGAUACUUGCACCACUGGCAAAGAGUUUGGAGUUGAUAACAAAUACUGAGAAAAUUAGGUCAGCUUGGGUGGGGUCAGAGAACAAGACAAUAAUCAACUUUAAAAAAAAAACAAAAGUGGGACUCCCCUGGUGGCACAGUGGUUAAGAAUCUGCCUGCCAAUGCAGGGGAC